GCAAUUCUUGUGCCUCAGCCUCCCAGGGAACUGGGACUACAGGUGACUUUACAAUCUCUAGACCCAGACAUUUCUCUCUGAAGUGGAGUGAAGGAAGGAGAACCAGAAGCUAAAGGCAAUGAAAAGAGGAAAAGUUGACACUUUGAGAAGUUAUGACGAACUUGUCGAGAAUGCCAAUUGACAAAGGCAGGUAAGGGAGUACUUGGAAAAACAGCAAGAAUAGGUCUGAAGGGCACGGUGAGCUGCUUUCCUAGGGUGUAAAGGGAAUUGGCAGCCGUGUUUAUUGACUCUUCCAAUUAAUUUUAAAGAAACCUGAAGAAAUGGACAAAGACAGAGAAAAGGCAACCAGAUGUGAUUCCGCCCUUCCAGAAGCAAAGAGGCUUAUUUCAUCCCAUAUGAUCGAUGCCAGUCAUGGGGAGGAGUGGCUGUGUGGAAAUUAAUGGAUUUUCAACAUCCAAUCACAGAGGACACACAUGUAUAUUUAGCAAGUCUAAAACCUCUUAAAUAAACUGCAUUGCUUUUCAUUUUCACUUUCCAGUUAUAAAACCAGUGGAUGAUGAAAAGGCCAUGUGACAAUACAGCAUGUACUCUCAGGAAUGUUUGUGUGACGGGGAUAUUAUAUCUGAAGGGACAGGGCAACUGGGAGGGUGAACUGCUCAUAACUCUCAAUUGUCCAGGUAAUGAAGCAUUGGGAAAGCAAAGGCAAAUGAAAUAACCUGAUCAUCAAAAAAUGAUUCCUCUUUUAGUGCUCUUAUUAGUUGACUGAUGAUGACAAGUGUGAAAUUGCCAGAGUUGUAUUUUACCAUUUCUGGCACUCAUCACGUGCUUUGGAUGAGCACAUGUGUGCAGAAAGUGGGAACCCGGGCAAUUUCUAUAGACCAGGCUGUUAACCUGCAAGCUGUAAAAUUUCACAGUGUGAAGGAUGACAGUCAAGGAUUGGUGAGGUUCCCUAGCAUUCUUGAGGACUCACAGGGAAUCAGAAGAAGAACUGAAGCUACACUGAAAGGGCUCUUGAACCCUCUAAAGCUGACUUUUUAGUCUUGAACUUGGGGUUGUAUGUUAAAUAUGUGAUACUCACUCAUGAUGCUACCACUUGGUCGUAUUUUAUUAGACUAAAGUGUGUUAAAGCCAGAAAGGGCUUUAUGAAUCAGCGAGCCUAGCCCACCCUAUUUGAACUGAUGCUGACAAAGGUAACGUGUUCGAGAUCACAUUCCUAGUAAGCAGCAAGACUGUGACUAGAACCCAAGUCUUGUACUUUCUUACCUCAUGUUCCUGUCACUUGUGUGCUGUGCCAGGAUCCUCCAAAGUUCGAAUAAUGAGGAUUUUUUUUUUUUUAAAUUUUGAGACGGAGUCUUGCUCUGUCGCCCAGGCUGGAGUGCAGUGGCGUG
rnacentral:lncRNA from 1 species